AGACUGUUAUUAUCGUGUACAAGAGUGGGAUUCUACACAACACGUGCGAAUAACAGAGACAACACAGAAAAAUCAGUGUGUCUUGACCUAUGCCAUCUUUAACUACUGGUCUUGGAGAUCUGGUAGGUGAAAAUGGCUUUACGUCACACAGUGACGAGUACUGAUGAUCAUGAUGGUUGACCAUUACUUUUCUGGAAUGACAAGACAAUGCUGGUAUUACAUCUAGCAAGCUGGACAGAUAUGGCAUGAUUAUUACCGCAAAGAGGAAAGUCAAAACAGUUCUUUGCUAUGCUAAGUGUGUAUCUGAAAAAUAAGAAAACAAGACUUUGAUUUUGUUUGGAUAAUUUUGAAAUUGAACCAGAUGAUGCGAUAAAAAGUGGAAGAAAAAAGCAUUUAACUUCACCAUGACGUUUUAAAAAGGCUUAUAAAGCCAAAAAAUAAUUUUGAAACAGAAUAAACUGCAAAUUGCGGUGCUACAAAACUGUCAGAAACAAAGUCACUUAAAUUUGCAAGUGCAGACCAACGAUGUUGGCGUACCUUGAGAACAUUUUACCACCCGUGUGUCAUGGUAGCUGCAAAUAGAAACAGCUGCAUACAGAGGGACACAGAUAACAGUUUUGUGUGUAAAAUAACCCCUAGCGAAUGUCCUACAUAGGCCGGUGGUUUUUUUAGCGUGUAGACACGCCGCAGCCAUGUUUUACCUUAAGAAAUAUUCAUAGCUAAUGUUGCAUAUUUUUUUAAUAUACUGCAAAAGGUCGUAGAACAACAUGACACAUUUGAAAAUGACAAAUGAAAUGGUAAUUAAAAUAGUUUUUUUAAAUUACUUAGCGUUAGUACUGUUAAGGAUCAAUGCUAGGAAACAAGGUGCAAUAUAUGUUAUGUAACAUAUGAACAAAGUCUAUGUAACUAUGUAAAGUUAACCUAUUGAUCUGCAUGACUUGAUACUGACGUGUCACUGCACAAACGAAAAUUGGUGCACAACUCGACCUUAACCUGGUGUAAAGCAAGGGUUGUGGU